UUUUAGAUAAAAACGUUUUUCAUUUAAAAAAAUUAAUAAUGAUUUUUUAAUCAACAUAAACUUAUAUAAUUGGGCUCAAAUUGAAGCUAAAUAAUUUAAGAUGGUAAGAAAAAUCUAACUUCACCAUUUAAAGCAUUGAUUCUCACUCAAAUAAAGCCAAAAACGUCAUGGUGAACCCAAACAACGGCAAGAAAUGAACAUUUGAAAUGCACAUUUUUGAUUUUUUUAAAUAUUUCUAACGGUGUCGAUUUGGCCAAAGUAAGAUAUGUUAUUCUUUGAAAAAAUGGAACGUCAUAACGUUUUGAAAAAUAUUUGUCACCAUACUCGUUUUUGAGGAAAAUUGAGAAAUAUAAUAUUGUUUACUCAAUCCCUCCCGUAAGCCUCACAAAUUGCGCCAAAAAUUAAGACGUUUUCCGAAAAUAACGUUAUAUUUCCC
rnacentral:lncRNA from 1 species